CUACCCGGGUACCCAGCUCCACUCGCAUGUGGCUGCCGGGCAAUAAAAAUGGACACACAGCAGAAACAACAUGGCGCUGGCAGAAGGCAACGGUCCGGGACACCGGCACAGAAGCACUCGCCAAUGUACGGGCAACCUGAUGCCGGCGCCUUCCCCCCUCCCACGCCUCAGGCCUCACCGGACACUGGACUAGGAAUAACAGCAUUUAUUCUUCCUUCUGGUUGUACUCUUUGUGUCUUAACUAUUUAUGAGGUCGAGUUGUUUGUGCAGUUUGAUUAUUUUGCUGGCAGGGCGGUAGGCGGAGCACCGGCGACCUGUGCCUCUUCAUAAUUCAACGGUCGGGCUGACAAUCCGGCCAGACGGAGUGCACACACAUUCAGAGGAACGCGCCGUUCAAGUGAGAUCGCAGUGAGCGCCCACGCAACGAGUUUUGUGCAGCGUGUAGGGGAUCACUCGAUGGGCUGUACACACGCAGUGAGUAGUGAAUAUUAAUGUACUAGCAGUGUAAAUAGAUAUGUAUACUCUUGAUUUGCAGCCACAGCUGAUUUGUUAUGGUUUUAAAAAGAACUUAAUGAAAAUCAAAGUAAAGGCCGAUCGGCCCUGUGCCCUGCGGGUCCUAUAUACCCUACAGACUCGCUACAGACUGUGCUUGGGAUCCGCUCGCUACUUUGGCCUAGAAUGGCUGGAGCAUUUCUUGUGGAUUCACAGUCAACGUUCAACGUACUGCAACAUGCAGCAGCCACCAUGAGUUGUAUUGCAUAGCUAAUCACAUCACUUACAGUUCCACACAUUAUAUUAGUGAAUGCUUUGUGUGAAUGUGUCUGACGUCUGCCUAAGUCUGAUGAACGUGAUUAUAUAGUGGAAAGAAUUAUUUGGCCCAGCCAUCUUAUGUGCAUAUUUACGUACACACUUAUAUAGGGAAUUCUUUACACUUUUGAAGGCUCUACGGAGAGAUGCAACUCAUAUACACACAUAUCUGCGACCUUUCCAGUCGCCUUCUCGUGCAGCUGCUAUCCACUACCUGCUCUGGGUAGGGGCCUUCCAAAGCUACAGGCAAACAAUUGCUGCAUUCCAGAAGUCACCGCUAAAACGCCGCAACGCUACAGGACCUGAGCGCUCCCAGUCGUUGCUUCGCUUCUACAAGCAGCACCAACGGCGACGCUACAUCUUGGAACACUUUCAGCGUUCCCUUCCAUUCGGUAUAGUACACUCCUUCACGUCUCUCAAUAUAUAUGGUAUGUUAUACUCGUGUCUUAAUGGAAAGGCGUACUUACAUAUUUGAUAGGUAUCAGUAUGUUUCUGAUGUGUACACUUUAUAACAACUCUCAUGUGUUCCAGGUUCCACGUGAAAAUCCCUACACAGUUUAAUCAGCUGCUAGGCACUGCAUAUUAAUAUUUAUGAGUAAUAUUGACGAAACAAUUCAGAAGUGACUGAUUUCUCAUCCGUGGGGCUGCCUUGACAGCGAUCUUAGUGAGAAUUGUUGACUUCUAGCGACUCAGCGACUUCUACUCUGAGCGCUUCUCGUCGGUGCGUUAAGCACCUGGUGGUCUCGCUACAUAUAUUGGUCUUCUCGACGGUCCAAUUAAAACACGGCAGGAGAACAACUACGAACUACGGUUGAACAUGGAAACGGCUAUUAGUUCGUUCAGCUUCGUAAGGGACUUCUCAGGGUUGCGCUCGCAAAUACAUUGGAACCAAACACGCUCAUCGUUUCACCAUCCAUAUUUAAAGCUCUACGGAUGGAACAACUCAGAGGGGAUAAAUGCACGUAUCAGCUACCAGUCUUCCAGCUAUAUAUGCUGUUAGUCUGUAACCGCUCCAUAAAGGGUCUGGCAUACCCAACAGACUUCGGAUCCUCUCGUUACGUAGACUACUGACUCGCUAUGCCGGUUAGCUGCACAGGCCAGGGGGGUGUCCUUUAAGCAUCAAGAGAAACGUGAGGCUACAGGAAUCUUCGCAUAGAUCGCAUACAGUCCAUCUGUAUCGAUGUCGCUUUCCUAGCUAUAGGCGAUCUCUGCAAUCUCUGAAUUGCUCAAUCUAAACGAAAUUUCCGAACACGAAAUAAAGGAAUAACCGAUUCCGGCUCCUCCCAGAGGACAUAGCAAUUAGCAUCGGCCUCCAGGAACUGCUUCUGCUCAGCGAGAUCCGAUUGUAGGUUCUUCUUCUAUCUCCUCUGCCUCUCCUUGCUCCACUGAAUACUGAUCAUCCUGUGCAGACGGACCUGGAAUUCGAGGGAACACUCUUAAAAGAAGAUCGAAACUCCUUCCUAAGUUGUGGCUUGGAAGGGACUGGAACAGGGUAUAAAUGACGUCAAAUGGAACAUUGUCAUUUGGUGCAUAGUGAGGACUUAAGUGCAAUUGCAGACACACACACAUCCGGAUGUAUCGAAGGAAUGGCAGUUCAUUGUGGCUGCUAGAAGAUGUUGGAUAUCAACGACGAAAGACAAGUAUCUAAGGGGUCAACGCGAGGAAGGGAAUACGCCUCAGGGCGGUUGAUGGGACUCUUACGGAACAUACUAUAUAACUCUUAAACGAAAAGCAGUCGUAAUUAAACUUAUACUUAAACGA
rnacentral:sRNA from 1 species